rnacentral:rRNA from 1 species
UACGUAGGGUGCGAGCGUUGUCCGGAAUUAUUGGGCGUAAAGAGCUUGUAGGCGGUUUGUCGCGUCUGCUGUGAAAAUCCGGGGCUCAACCCCGGACUUGCAGUGGGUACGGGCAGACUAGAGUGUGGUAGGGGAGACUGGAAUUCCUGGUGUAGCGGCGGAAUGCGCAGAUAUCAGGAGGAACACCGAUGGCGAAGACAGGUCACUGGGCCGCAACUGACGCUGAGGAGCGAAAGCAUGGGGAGCGAACAGG